rnacentral:lncRNA from 1 species
CGCGCACGUGUCUGCGUGUAUAUGUGUAUAUGUAUAUAUGUGUGUAUGUAUAUAUAUAUAUAUAUUUAGAUUCUCUGUACAAAAAAUUGGUCGCGUUAAUAAUAAGCGAACCAAGAUCUUGCGUUAAAGCAAACAAUUAUUAUUAAUUGAAAUAUUUGAUUAAUGGUAUUUAAUCCCGUAUCUUGUCCUAAUUAUAAGGAUAAGGUAAUUAAUCAGGUUUAAAUCGUAUCGCGAAAGCCUCGUAACUUUGACAAAUUAUAAGCAAAAUUAUGACGCUUUUCACGAUUAUAAAUAACGCAACAAAGUUUAAUAAAAGAAUGCUAAAAUAGAACGUUUAAGAUUCGAUCAAUAUGAUUGAUAAAGAACUUUUCAAAUCGUUUUAUCCAUACUGAUAUUAAAAAUAUAUGUAUGUAUACAUUUAUAAUAAUUGAUAAGAUAUCAAUUACAUCAAAUCCAAAAGUAUCUUGUUUGUAGGCAUUUAUUAAUAACACAUUGAUUUAUACAAUGUCAUCACGUCGCGGAUGUCAUCGUUAUUUAAUCAAUUUUUAUAUUUUUUCAUAACUACGUGAUAGCAGCUCGUCGAACAAAUUACUCAUGUAAUUGUAAUGUAUUUUGAACGUUCGAUGUAUAAAUUAUACAUCAUCUCGUUCAAGUUUUUAAAUAUUUUUUAUUUAUUCACUAAUCCAUAAAAUAUUUAAAAUCGAUGUACAACAAAUCACUGAAGUAUUCGUACACCUACUGUCAAUUUAAAACGAUUAUUAUUUGUUUGUAAUACAAUAUAUCAACAUUUUUAUACAUAAAAACAUAUUUUAAGAUUAUUCGAUUUUGAAAUUGAUAUCAAUUUUGGGCCUCCGAAAGUAAGUAACAUUUAUGGAAAUUUUCAAUGGAAGAAUACUUGUAACUUUACAUUACAAGUAAAUUUAAUUUAUAUCAAAUUGACAAUAGAACGGCGAAUCAGUCGCCACAACUAAUCCAAACUUUGGUUAAUUAGAUAGAUCUCCAAACAAUGUUAGUCCAGGACUCUCAAAAUUAAUGAUUCGUCUCUGGGGGUGGGUACGAAUACUCCCAUAACUAAUUGUAACUAUAAUAUAUAUUAAAUAUAUUAUAUAUAUAUAAAUAUAUAUAUAGCAUUCGUCAAUGAAUAAAAUUCAUCAUUGGUUCAUACACUCUUCUCUUGUUUGAAACUUACAAAAAAUAUGAUAAAAACUGUUAAAAAUAUCAAACACAAUGAAACGAGACUUUCUUUCAAUAGCAGAUCUAGCUUCCAUUUUGUCCAGUUUAAUAAACGUGCUACACCAUUUUUAAUACGAUGUACGUGAUCGCGAAUUUGAUCAGUAAUCGUCGGCAAGUAUACAAAGGCUUAUUUUUAUCCGCUGUCGUAUUAACUUCGUCGUAUAUUUGUCAUUGGAACCCUAUUACAAUUAUUAUCCUUAAUAUAAUAUUAUUAUAUUUAUCUACAGGCUUCUUUAUUUUCUUAUAUAUCGAGCAAACUUCAGUUUCCUAACAACUACGGUUUUUGUGGUCCAGUUUCUUAAACGACUAAUGUAAGUAUCAAAAGAAUUAAAAAAGAAGAUAAAGAAUAGAGAUGGAGCAAGAUAGAAGGAAAGAACAAAAGUAACAUGGAUAAUUUUUCUUGGUAGAUUAUCAGUGGUAGCAGCCAUCUUUCAUUUCUAAGCUCAAAGAUGAGAAAAACGUGAAAAAUAUUGGAAUUUAAUUGAUAUUGUCCAAGAUAUAACAAUAAUUCUCCCUUUCCUUCAGUUUAUCUUUCGAAAUAGUAAUUCAUUAUCUCUCAAGAAGAAGAAAAUAAUUGAUUGUAAUAUUAUUAUUUCUUAAUCUUUCGCUAAGAAGCAUGAGAGGAAUUUGGAAAGGUUAUGAAGAAAUUGUUCGUAGAAACACUACGUUCGAUUUCUUUUUUUUUCCGAGGAAACACAAGGUCGAUCUCGACACUCUGAUUAAUUGAUAUUUUUUUUCCUCGAAAAAAUGUUGAUCUCGCAAGUCGCGUGUAAUGGCAAACAAUAUACAAGUAAUGAUGUCAAAGAUAUGUAAUUGGGAAAUAAGAAUAAAUCUAAUAUUCAAAUAUACGGGAGAGAGAUUCGAGUAAAACUUCAGCCACAGAAGUAUUGAAAUUCGUAUGAAAGAAUUGUUUCGAACGAAAACAUUGGAGAUUGAUUUGUUUUAUGACAAAAUGGAGGAAGAGAAAGAACGCUCCUAAGAAUGACGAUAGGAUGCUAACGAGAUGAAUGGGAUGAGGUUGUACUUUGAGAACGUUUUCCUACCUUGGAAUAUACCCAGAAAGGUUCCUGACCUCCGAGACGAGAGAAAUUAUGGCGAUCGGAUACGGAUGAAGAUAAACGAUUGCCUUCCAUCGUUGAAUAACGAACGAACGAAGGAAAGAAGGAAAGAAGGAAAGAAGGAGCGAAGGAAGGAAUGAAGGAACGAACGAUAGCGUGACUCCUCCUGUGCAGUCGUCGGUGUACACAACCGGACUCUAAAAAUAAUCCUUGUCUCGCGCCAGACGUUUAAAAAAAAGACCUAAGAUAUCCCUUUAGAAGGAUGCACCGAAGAGAAGAGGAGUCUCCCCUUUAGUUGGAAGAGACUCGCGGAAUUUAAACUCUUGACGAUCGUCGACGAGGCUGAGUAUCCAUCAGCCGUUUGGAAAGAGGAGCAAAGAAGAA